AAUCUUAAGAAUACGGGGUCAUAGAUGAUCAUAAAGGCCUAUGGUUAAGAUUAGUGAUCUCUAUUGCACUUGGGAGAAGUGUUAGCUUAAGCUCUUCUUAAAUAAGGAAAGAUUACGCGACAUUCUUGGAUAAUGCAGGUGUGCGUUCGCACUGUCCCUUA